rnacentral:rRNA from 1 species
AGGCCUAACACAUGCAAGUCGAACGGUAACAGGUCUUCGGAUGCUGACGAGUGGCGAACGGGUGAGUAAUACAUCGGAACGUGCCCGAUCGUGGGGGAUAACGGAGCGAAAGCUUUGCUAAUACCGCAUACGAUCUACGGAUGAAAGCAGGGGACCGCAAGGCCUUGCGCGAACGGAGCGGCCGAUGGCAGAUUAGGUAGUUGGUGGGAUAAAAGCUUACCAAGCCGACGAUCUGUAGCUGGUCUGAGAGGACGACCAGCCACACUGGGACUGAGACACGGCCCAGACUCCUACGGGAGGCAGCAGUGGGGAAUUUUGGACAAUGGGCGAAAGCCUGAUCCAGCCAUGCCGCGUGCAGGAUGAAGGCCUUCGGGUUGUAAACUGCUUUUGUACGGAACGAAAAGACUCUGGUUAAUACCUGGGGUCCAUGACGGUACCGUAAGAAUAAGCACCGGCUAACUACGUGCCAGCAGCCGCGGUAAUACGUAGGGUGCAAGCGUUAAUCGGAAUUACUGGGCGUAAAGCGUGCGCAGGCGGUUAUAUAAGACAGAUGUGAAAUCCCUGGGCUCAACCUGGGAACUGCAUUUGUGACUGUAUAGCUAGAGUACGGUAGAGGGGGAUGGAAUUCCGCGUGUAGCAGUGAAAUGCGUAGAUAUGCGGAGGAACACCGAUGGCGAAGGCAAUCCCCUGGACCUGUACUGACGCUCAUGCACGAAAGCGUGGGGAGCAAACAGGAUUAGUUACCCUGGUAGUCCACGCCCUAAACGAUGUCAACUGGUUGUUGGGUCUUCACUGACUCAGUAACGAAGCUAACGCGUGAAGUUGACCGCCUGGGGAGUACGGCCGCAAGGUUGUAACUCAAAGGAAUUGACGGGGACCCGCACAAGCGGUGGAUGAUGUGGUUUAAUUCGAUGCAACGCGAAAAACCUUACCCACCUUUGACAUGUACGGAAUCCUUUAGAGAUAGAGGAGUGCUCGAAAGAGAACCGUAACACAGGUGCUGCAUGGCUGUCGUCAGCUCGUGUCGUGAGAUGUUGGGUUAAGUCCCGCAACGAGCGCAACCCUUGUCAUUAGUUGCUACAUUUAGUUGGGCACUCUAAUGAGACUGCCGGUGACAAACCGGAGGAAGGUGGGGAUGACGUCAAGUCCUCAUGGCCCUUAUAGGUGGGGCUACACACGUCAUACAAUGGAUGGUACAAAGGGUCGCCAACCCGCGAGGGGGAGCUAAUCCCAUAAAGCCAUUCGUAGUCCGGAUCGCAGUCUGCAACUCGACUGCGUGAAGUCGGAAUCGCUAGUAAUCGUGGAUCAGAAUGUCACGGUGAAUACGUUCCCGGGUCUUGUACACACCGCCCGUCACACCAUGGGAGCGGGUUCUGCCAGAAGUAGGUAGCCUAACCGUAAGGAGGGCGCUUACCACGGCAGGGUUCGUGACUGGGGUGAAGUCGUAACAAGGUAGCCGUAUCGGAAGGUGCGGCUGGAUCACCUCCU